UGCAGUCUAGUAUAGCAAUUAUACAGCGAAACUGCGAAUGGCUCAUUAUAUAAGUUAUCGUUUAUUUGAUAGUACCUUACUACUUGGAUAACCGUGGUAAUUCUAGAGCUAAUACAUGCUAAAAAUCCCGACUCCGGAAGGGAUGUAUUUAUUAGAUUAAAAACCAAUGCCCUCUGGGCUCCUUGGUGAUUCAUAAUAACUUUUCGAAUCGCAUGGCCUUGCGCCGGCGAUGGUUCAUUCAAAUUUCUUCCCUAUCAACUUUCGAUGUUUGGGUAUUGGCCAAACAUGGUCGCAACGGGUAACGGAGGGUUAGGGCUCGACCCCGGAGAAGGAGCCUGAGAAACGGCUACUACAUCCAAGGAAGGCAGCAGGCGCGCAAAUUACCCAAUCCCGAUUCGGGGAGGUAGUGACAAUAAAUACUGAUACAGGGCUCUUUUGGGUCUUGUAAUUGGAAUGAGUACAAUUUAAAUCCCUUAACGAGGAACAAUUGGAGGGCAAGUCUGGUGCCAGCAGCCGCGGUAAUUCCAGCUCCAAUAGCGUAUAUUAAAGUUGUUGUGGUUAAAAAGCUCGUAGUUGAACCUUGGGCCUGGCUGGCCGGUCCGCCUCACCGCGUGCACUGGUCCGGCCGGGCCUUUCCCUCUGUGGAACCCCAUGCCCUUCACUGGGUGUGGCGGGGAAACAGGACUUUUACUUUGAAAAAAUUAGAGUGCUCCAGGCAGGCCUAUGCUCGAAUACAUUAGCAUGGAAUAAUGAAAUAGGACGUGUGGUUCUAUUUUGUUGGUUUCUAGGACCGCCGUAAUGAUUAAUAGGGACAGUCGGGGGCAUCAGUAUUCAAUUGUCAGAGGUGAAAUUCUUGGAUUUAUUGAAGACUAACUACUGCGAAAGCAUUUGCCAAGGAUGUUUUCAUUAAUCAGGAACGAAAGUUAGGGGAUCGAAGACGAUCAGAUACCGUCGUAGUCUUAACCAUAAACUAUGCCGACUAGGGAUCGGACGAUGUUAUUUUUUGACGCGUUCGGCACCUUACGAGAAAUCAAAGUGCUUGGGCUCCAGGGGAUAUG
rnacentral:rRNA from 1 species